AGCCUGAACGCUGGCGGCGUGGCUAAGACAUGCAAGUCGCACGGUGUAGCAAUACACAGUGGCGAACGGGUGAGUAAAGAAUCGCUAACGUACCCCGGACUCUGGGAUAGCUAUCCGAAAGGGUAGGUAAUACCAGAUGACAUAUUUCUCCUGCAUGGGAGGAAUCUCAAAGGUCCGCCGGUCUGGGAGCGGGCGAUUUCGUAUCAGCUAGUUGGUGAGGUAACGGCUCACCAAGGCGACGACGCGUAGCCGGACUGAGAGGUUGGCCGGCCACAUUGGGACUGAGACACUGCCCAGACUCCUACGGGGGGCUGCAGUAACGAAUCUUCCGCAAUGCACGAAAGUGUGACGGAGCGACGCCGCGUGUGGGAUGAAGUUCUUCGGAAUGUAAACCACUGUCAGGGGUUAGAAAGUUCUGAUCAACCCCAGAGGAAGGCACGGCUAACUCUGUGCCAGCAGCCGCGGUAA
rnacentral:rRNA from 1 species